CCACCCAUCCAUUUACUCCAUCCCCUCUCUCUCUCUCUCUCUCUCUGUUGGACGCAAGGAAGACGAGUUUCGCCGCCGCCGCCAUGACGAGCUCCUCCUCCUCCAAGCUCUUCCACUCCGCCUGCAAGGCCGCCAGGUCCUUCCUCGCCCCCGCCCCCGCCCCCGCCCCGCGCGCCGCCUCCUCCAUCCUCGCCGCAGGUAUAUUAUAUAUCUCACCUCACUCCAAUCCACCAGAUCCGAUCCGAUCCGAUCCAAUCAACCGCCAUUCCAUACGAUCCACAUCACAUCAGGCCAGGGAUUCUAACAUCCAUUUCGAUUUCUCUCUUGUUUUUGUUUUUGUUUGUGUGCAGACGGGAGGAACGCCGCGCUCGCCACCCUCGGCAACCUCGCCAGGACCUCCACCCUCCCCGCCGCAUACUCCCACUCCCACCACGCCAAGGCCGCAUCCUCCCACGGCUACGCAUGGAUCGCAGCCAUCCC
rnacentral:lncRNA from 1 species